GAUGAACGCUAGCGGCAGGCCUAAUACAUGCAAGUCGAACGGUGUCUUCGGACAUAGUGGCGCACGGGUGCGUAACACGUAUGCAACCUACCUUACAUUGGGGGAUAGCCUUUCGAAAGGGAGAUUAAUACCGCAUAAGACAGUAGCCGGGCAUCCAGCAGCUGUUAAAGAUUUAUCGAUGUAAGCUGGGCAUGCGUCCAAUUAGCUAGUUGGUGAGGUAACGGCUAACCAAGGAAAUGAUUGGUAGGGGAACUGAGAGGUCAAUCCCCCACCCUGGCACUGAGAUACGGGCCAGACUCCUACGGGAGGCAGCAGUAGGGAAUAUUGGGCAAUGGACGCAAGUCUGACCCAGCCAUGCCGCGUGCAGGGUGAAGGCGUUAUGCGUUGUAAACUGCUUUUAUACAGGAAGAAACGACUCUUGCGAGAGGCAUUGACGGUACUGUAUGAAUAAGCACCGGCUAACUCCGUGCCAGCCGCCGCGGUAA
rnacentral:rRNA from 1 species